rnacentral:rRNA from 1 species
GACAAACGCUGGCGGUAUGCCUAACACAUGCAAGUCGAACGGACAGAACAGGGAAGCUUUUCGGGGUGGAACUGGAAAGUUAGUGGCGGAUGGGUGAGUAACGCGUGGACAACCUACCUUGUAAAGGGGAAUAACCUCGAGAAAUCGAAGCUAAUACCCCAUAAUAACCUUGCUUCGCAUGAAGUAAGGAGGAAAGGCGGCCUUAGCGCUGUCGAUACAAGAUGGGUCCGCGUCUGAUUAGCUAGUUGGUGAGGUAAAGGCUCACCAAGGCGACGAUCAGUAGCCGGCCUGAGAGGGUGAACGGCCACAUUGGGACUGAGACACGGCCCAAACUCCUACGGGAGGCAGCAGUGGGGAAUCUUCCGCAAUGGGCGAAAGCCUGACGGAGCAAUGCCGCGUGAGUGAAGAAGGCCUUCGGGUUGUAAAACUCUGUCCUUAUCGAAGAGAGAGUGUUGUAGUAACUGACAAUACUAGGACGGUAGAUGAGGAGGAAGCCCCGGCUAACUAUGUG